rnacentral:rRNA from 1 species
UCCUGGUGUUUAAGCGAUGAUGGGGGUCUAUCAUGCAAGUCGAACGCUUCUUUUUCCACCGGAGCUUGCUCCACCGGAAAAAGAGGAGUGGCGAACGGGUGAGUAACACGUGGGUAACCUGCCCAUCAGAAGGGGAUAACACUUGGAAACAGGUGCUAAUACCGUAUAACAAUCGAAACCGCAUGGUUUUGAUUUGAAAGGCGCUUUCGGGUGUCGCUGAUGGAUGGACCCGCGGUGCAUUAGCUAGUUGGUGAGGUAACGGCUCACCAAGGCCACGAUGCAUAGCCGACCUGAGAGGGUGAUCGGCCACAUUGGGACUGAGACACGGCCCAAACUCCUACGGGAGGCAGCAGUAGGGAAUCUUCGGCAAUGGACGAAAGUCUGACCGAGCAACGCCGCGUGAGUGAAGAAGGUUUUCGGAUCGUAAAACUCUGUUGUUAGAGAAGAACAAGGAUGAGAGUAACUGUUCAUCCCUUGACGGUAUCUAACCAGAAAGCCACGGCUAACUACGUGCCAGCAGCCGCGGUAAUACGUAGGUGGCAAGCGUUGUCCGGAUUUAUUGGGCGUAAAGCGAGCGCAGGCGGUUUCUUAAGUCUGAUGUGAAAGCCCCCGGCUCAACCGGGGAGGGUCAUUGGAAACUGGGAGACUUGAGUGCAGAAGAGGAGAGUGGAAUUCCAUGUGUAGCGGUGAAAUGCGUAGAUAUAUGGAGGAACACCAGUGGCGAAGGCGGCUCUCUGGUCUGUAACUGACGCUGAGGCUCGAAAGCGUGGGGAGCAAACAGGAUUAGAUACCCUGGUAGUCCACGCCGUAAACGAUGAGUGCUAAGUGUUGGAGGGUUUCCGCCCUUCAGUGCUGCAGCUAACGCAUUAAGCACUCCGCCUGGGGAGUACGACCGCAAGGUUGAACCAGAGAGUUGUUUGUUUGUGGGGGGA